GGGCGGUUAGCUCAGAUUGGUUAGAGCGCAACGUUGACAUCGUUGAGGCCACAGGUUCAACUCCUGUACCGCCCA
rnacentral:tRNA from 1 species